rnacentral:rRNA from 1 species
UCUGCUCAAUGAUUUUUUAAAUUGCUGUGGUAUUUUGACUAUACAAAGGUAUUGAAAUAAGAUUUUAAUUGAAUGCUAAGAGAAUGGACUCUCAGAGAAAAACUUUUUUUAAAUUAAAAAUUGAAAUUUUUUUAAUUUGUGCAGAAACAAUUAUUAAUAUUAAGGACAAGAAGACCCUAUGAAUUUAUUAAAUUUCAUUCAAUAUGUAAUUACUAUUGAAGAAAUUUUGGCUGGGGCGGCUAAAAAAUAUUUUAAACUUUUUAAAAAUAAAACGACCCAUUAUUAAUGAUUAUAUGUUAAAUACUCUAGGGAUAACAGCGUA